UAGGGAAUCUUCCACAAUGGACGCAAGUCUGAUGGAGCAACGCCGCGUGAGUGAAGAAGGUUUUCGGACCGUAAAGCUCUGUUGUUGGUGAAGAAGGAUAGAGGUAGUAACUGGCCUUUAUUUGACGGUAAUCAACCAGAAAGUCACGGCUAACUACGUGCCAGCAGCCGCGGUAAUACGUAGGUGGCAAGCGUUGUCCGGAUUUAUUGGGCGUAAAGCGAGCGCAGGCGGAAGAAUAAGUCUGAUGUGAAAGCCCUCGGCUUAACCGAGGAAUUGCAUCGGAAACUGUUUUCUUGAGUGCAGAAGAGGAGAGUAGAACUCCAUGUGUAGCGGUGGAAUGCGUAGAUAUAUGGAAGAAUACCAGUGGCGAAGGCGGCUCUCUGGUCUGCAAACUGACGCUGAGGCUCGAAAAGCAUGGGUAGCGAACAGGAUUAGAUACCCUGGUAGUCCAUGCCGUAAAACGAUGAGUGCUAAGUGUUGGGAGGCUUCCGCCUCUCAGUGCUGCAGCUAAACGCAUUAAGCACUCCGCCUGGGGGAGUACGACCGCAAAGGUU
rnacentral:rRNA from 1 species